AUUGAACGCUGGCGGCAGGCCUAACACAUGCAAGUCGAGCGGAUGAAGGGAGCUUGCUCCUGGAUUCAGCGGCGGACGGGUGAGUAAUGCCUAGGAAUCUGCCUGGUAGUGGGGGAUAACGUCCGGAAACGGGCGCUAAUACCGCAUACGUCCUGAGGGAGAAAGUGGGGGAUCUUCGGACCUCACGCUAUCAGAUGAGCCUAGGUCGGAUUAGCUAGUUGGUGGGGUAAAGGCCUACCAAGGCGACGAUCCGUAACUGGUCUGAGAGGAUGAUCAGUCACCGGGGACCUGAGAACCGGUCCAGACCCCUCGGGGGGGCAGCAGGGGGGAAUUUUGGACAAGGGGCGAAACCCUGAUCCAGCCAUGCCGGGGGGGUGAAGAAGGUCUUCGGUUUUUAAAGCUCUUUAAGUUGGGAGGAAGGGAAGUAAGUUAAUACCUUGCUUUUUUGCCUUUCCCAACAAAAAAAGCCCCGGCUACCUUCGU
rnacentral:rRNA from 1 species